rnacentral:lncRNA from 1 species
AGGGCCACGGGCCAAGGCCAAGGAAUUUUGCAUUGUUUUUAAGGCAACUAUUCUUCCCCGGCCCCUCCGAGUGGUAGAGAAGGCGCGUGCCUCGCGCCUAAAGCUUUCAAGCGCGCGCGGGCGGCGGGGCGGGGCGCGGGCGAGGGCACUAUAUCUCCCGGCGGAGGAGCACACGGCAGUUCCGGCAACACACGCCCAAAAUGCGCUCCGAUGCCGGUUGCUUAGUUGGCGCUGCUCAGCCUUCUUCCCUCGUUCACUUUGACAAGGACGCUCUGAUAGGCCAGCGCGACCCUGCAGUGGUUGGCCGGAAAGAGUCGAGCCGCCUGAUUGGCCGUUCCGCACCUGCAAUGCGUCAAGCCGAGGCGGGCGUGGAGGGCUCUGCGUGAAUGGUCGUGGCUGACGGGGGAGCCCGCGGCCUUGGGGGGAGAAGCGGCUCCGCCUAUGGCCGCCAUCUUUACUAGUGGCAGAGCGGAUGGCCCCGGACGAGGAGGGGCUUUCGCGGCGCUACUUAGCCAGCGGAGAGAGGCUCUGUGACAGAAGUUUUGUUUGGGGUUUAUUUUUCCCUUUUUACUUUGCGAAGAAAACAACCAAGUAUUUCAGAAGUGCAGAGGGAAAAUCAUUUUACUAGAGGGAUCAGAAAAAGCUCUGUGGAAGAAGCUGGUGUCAGGUUGGUUAAGGGUAUACAGAAAAUGGCAACAUGUUCCGGGCAAGAAGAAAAGAUUAUCUUGUAUGCAUGGAAUCCAUUGAAGACUCUUGACAAAAUCACAGGGCACCGGAGGAGUGUUUUUUUUCUGCUCUUGGUCAAGUCUGCGAUCUCCACCCGCCUUGCCUCCCCAAGAAAAAAAGCAAUAAUACAAAGAGCUGCAGACAAGGUCGGCUCCGGGCUGUGUUCUGACAGAGAGGAACGUUUUUAACCAGGUAUGUUCUGAGCUUUCCACCAAAGUAUCCCAACAGGAUAGGGGACCAAGGGUGUCUGCUUCUGUGG